AGCAAAUACAAGGCCAGGCACGGUGGUUCACGCCUGUAAUCCCAACACUUUGGGAGGCCGAAGUGGGCGGAUCACUUGAGGCCCUCCAGGAGGUAUUCCAGAAGAAGGCAUUGUUAACAUAGAUGACAACUCCGUGUGUUAUUGCUCCUGAAGACCUUCCAGUGGGACAAGAUGUGGAGAUGAAAGACAGUCACAAUCCCAACUCUGUGUAGGCCAAGGUCGCCAGCACGCUGGACGGUAUGUUUCAUCCGGAGAACUCGACCAUUCGGUGGCGGCGGCUGUUACUGGCGGCAGCGGGCCUGUCUGCUUGUGAGGAUCAGCUUCUGAAGCUCCUUCUUAAUUUCCUUCUGGGUAAUGUGCGAACUCCACAGCCAUCUUUCUCCUACGGUCUCAGACUUUGAAUAAAAACAAAAACAAGUUGGUC